rnacentral:lncRNA from 1 species
AAACUUAACACAGCAUAGGGGCAUCACUAUAUAUGUCACUACUAGAAAAUUAGUCAUUAGUGGCAUUAAUUUAUGCUGCUAAAUGAUCAACAAAUGCUGCUAAAAGUUUUAGCAGCAUAUGAUACCAAAUGUUGCCUAUGCCAAUAUUGCUAAAAGUAUUAGCAGCAUUUAUUAUAAAUGCCGCCAAUAUAAAUCAAUUAGUGUCAUUAGGAAUAUGUCGCUAAAAGGAUUAAAUGUUGUUUGUUAGUGGCACAUAAAUAUAAUGCCGCUAAUACAAAUAUCUGAUUUUAGAAAUUAAAAUUUUAAAAUUUUAAUUUUAUUUUAAAUUUUUUUGUGAUGCUACCCACUUCGUUUAUUUCUUUUAGAAAUAAACUUUGCUAGAAAUGUGAAUCAACUAGAUUCGAACUUGAAACCUCGAGUACCAACCACCAAGCCCUUUGCCACUUGCGCUAGCGACGAUUAAUUAUAGAUAUUUUAAUUUUUUUAAUUUUAAGUCUUCUAUUUUAAAAUUUUAAAUCUUAAAAUUUUAAAUUUAUAUACUAAUUUUAAAUUUUUAAUUUUCAAAUAUCAAAUUUUAAGUUUCAAAAUUAAUAGUUUUAAAUUUUAAAUUUUAAAUUUUAAAAUUUUAAAAUAAAAAGUAAAAAAUUUAAAAUUUUAGAAUUUAAAAUUUAAAAUAUAAAUUUUAAAAUUUUAAAUUUUAAAUUAUAAGUUUAAUUUUUUAAAUUAUAUGUUUCGAAUUUUAAACUUGAAUUUUAAAAUUUUUAAUUCUAAAUAAAAAGGGAUAUAUUAAUAAUUAUAUAACAAGUGCUGCUAGUUUAUUAUAUUUAGCGGCAUUCACUAAUUUAUGCUGCUAAUUUAUCCUAUUUUGCAACAUUAAUAGCAAAUUGCUGCUAAAUAAUUAAAUCUAGCGGUAAUUAUCAAGUAAUGCUGCUAAAUGUAUUAAUUGGCAUGAUUUAAAUAAAUGUUGCGGAGCAAAUAUUACGGCAUUUAGCAAUAAGUGUUGUUACUUUAUUACAUUUAGUGUCAUUUUUUAUAAAAUGCUAGAAACUUCAGCGGCAUUCACUAAUUUAUGCUGCUAAUUUAUUCUCUUUUGCAAUAUUAAUAGUAAAUUACUGCUAAAUUAUUAAAUUUAGCGGCACUUAUCAAGUAAUACGGUUAAAUAUAUUCAUUAGCGUUAUUUAAAAAAAUGUUGCGGAAUAAAUGCCGCUAAAUCAUAAUUUUGUUGUAGUGGUGGCUCAACUCGAUUUUCCGAUAUUUUUUGGUGGUGAUCCAUUAAGUUGGAUUUUUUUGGCAAAGUGAUUUUUUUAUUAGCAGUGCACACCGAAGGAAAAUAAAGUUCAAUUAACAUCUCUUCACAUGACCGGUGAAGUGAUUCAUUGGGUUGGAUAGUACAAAAGUCAGAUUGCUCAGCCUUCCUCCAAAGAAUUUAAAAAAGCUUUUACGGUACAGUUCAGGCCAUCUCAAAUUAUAAACUUUGAUAUUGCUCAUGCUGAUAUCUCUGAAACCAGUUCCAUUAGCCCUUGUUUGGUUGGGGUUAAGAGGUGGAAUAACUCCUUAACCCUCAUUUUAUCUCCAAAUAUCUCAAAAAAUAGGUGGGGUUAGCUAACCCCACCUAAUCCCACCUCAAGUAAAUUAUUCCGGGUUAGCUAACCCCACCUAACCCCACCAAAUUUUAACCAAAUAUUAUUUUCUAUUCAUAAUAACCCACUAUCUUUCUUAUCACACCUACUCCAACCAAUCAUUAUUCUUUUUUAUUAAUCAUUAUCUUCUUAUCCCACCUACCCAACCAAACACUAUUUUUCAUUAUUCUAGACUAACUCCAACCCCCAGCCAAACACACAAAAAUUUUAACCCCACUUUAACCCUGAACUUAACUCUAUUCCUGGAAUAGCUAUUUUUUUCUUAACCCCGAACCAAACGGAGGCUUAGUGAGUAUCAAGCCGAGCUUGAAUAUCU